CAUUCUGCACCUCUGCAGAGUGUCUUUAUGGAAGCAGAUCUCUUCAAUUUGCACCUGUGAAAACCUUCUGAAUCUAGACAAAGCCUGAACUACAGCUGUUGUACAAGUCAUGCCACAUCAGAUGAGAAGAGCUAAGAGUGAUAAUCAGAGUACAGCAGAGCUUUUGAAUUCCAAAGCGCUUUGCCUACAUUCGUACUGCAGAUGACAGAUGGUGUCCUCGGCUUCCUUACCUCCUAGUUCAAGAAGUCACCACCACUGGCAAAUGCCUUUAGCCUGAG